UGAUGUAGCUAAGUCGCUGUUAAUGUGACUAUGACCUAAACUUAGGUUUUAACAGUGUCAACCAUAAGUUACCUACUUUUUAGGCUUACUAGUUAGUGCUAUGGUUUGGAUGUGGGUUGUUUGUUCUCACCAAAACUCUUGUUGGGAAUUGAUCCUCGAUGUGCAGAAAUGGAGAAGUUCCUGCGGGACCGCGUUGUUAUAAAGCUGGGAUGCCUCUCAGGGUUUCCCUGCUUCCCAGUGCCUACUUCCCCUUGGACGUUCUCCGCCAUGUGUGACAAAGCAUGAAGCCCUCUCCCGAGGCCAGGGUCACACCUGUGAACUUCUCAGCCUGCAGAACCAUCAGCUAAAUAAACGUCUUUUCUUUAUAAACCA